rnacentral:rRNA from 1 species
GAAUAGAAUUUGAGGUCUGACCUGCCCACUGAAUUAUUAAAUGGCCGCAGUAAUUUGACUGUGCAAAGGUAGCAUAAUCAUUAGUUUUUUAAUUAAAAGCUUGUAUGAAUGGUUGGACGAAAUAAAUACUGUCUUUAAAUAAUAAAUAGAAUUUAAUUUUUAAGUUAAAAAGCUUAAAUAUUUAUAAAAGACGAGAAGACCCUAUAGAUCUUUAUAUUAUUUUAUAUAUAUUUAAUUAAGAUUAUUUUAUUAUUUAUAUUUAAUAAUAUUUUAUUGGGGUAAUAAAAAGAUUAAAUUAAUUCUUUAUUAUUUUAAAUAUUAAUUAAUAGAUUUUUGAUCCUUUAUUAGAGAUUAUAACAUUAAGUUACCUUAGGGAUAACAGCGUAAUUUUUUUAAAGAGUUCAUAUCGAUAAAAAAGUUUGCGACCUCGAUGUUGGAUUAAAAAUUAUUCUAGGUGUAGUAGUUUAGAAUUUUGGUCUGUUCGACCAUUAAAUUUUUACAUGAUCUGAGUUCAGACCGGYGUAAGCCAGGUCGGUUUCUAUCUUUAUUUAAUUAAUAUAUUUUAGUACGAAAGGACCAAAUAUAAAUUAUAUUUAUAAUUAAAYUUUUGAAUUAUA